CUCAGAAUCACUAAUUUGACAUCGAACCACUGAUACGGAGCGCCGCCUCCUCGAAUUGUUGUUAUCCGAACUAACCCGUCCCCCAACAUGGCUAUUUCCAGCACUAGCCUUCCCUUCACCAACUCUGGAACCAUGCCUGGAAACAGACCUCCCUCUUCUUUGCGACACACUGACUUUAUCCCCAGAGCUGACAUCAUCAAUUCUCGAAGAAGAACGACCUCGAUCAGAAGAACCAAAGAACUGAACAGCAAGAUCAUCAAGAGUGAUAUCUGGAAACCCC
rnacentral:misc_RNA from 1 species